CAACUUUCAACAACGGAUCUCUUGGUUCUCGCAUCGAUGAAGAACGCAGCGAAAUGCGAUACGUAAUGUGAAUUGCAGAAUUCAGUGAAUCAUCGAAUCUUUGAACGCACAUUGCACUCCUUGG
rnacentral:rRNA from 1 species